GACAGAGGUGCCAAGCGUUAGGCGGAAUCACUGGGCUUAAAGCGUGUGUAGGUGGAUUUGUAAGUACCUUGUGAAAUCCCAUGGCUCAACCAUGGAACUGCUCGGUAUACUGCGAAUCUUGAGCCACUUAGGGGCUACCGGAACAAAUGGUGGAGCGGUGAAAUGCGUAGAUAUCAUUUGAAACGCCAAUGGUGAAAACAGGUAGCUGGGAGUGUGCUGACACUGAGACACGAAAGCCAGGGGAGCGAACGGG
rnacentral:rRNA from 1 species